rnacentral:rRNA from 1 species
UACGUAGGGCGCAAGCGUUGUCCGGAGUUACUGGGCGUAAAGAGUGCGUAGGCGGUUUUCUAAGUUUGGUGUGAAAUCUCCCGGCUUAACUGGGAGGGUGCGCCGAAAACUGGAAGGCUUGAGUAUGGGAGAGGUAAGCGGAAUUCCUGGUGUAGCGGUGAAAUGCGUAGAUAUCAGGAGGAACACCUGCGGUGUAGACGGCUUACUGGACCAUAACUGACGCUGAGGCACGAAAGCGUGGGUAGCAAACAGG